rnacentral:tRNA from 1 species
CAGAAUUGUAGUUUAAUUAAAAUAUUAGCAUUGGAAGCUAAAGAUUGAGAAAUGUUCUCAUAUUCUGA